AUUGCCUCACUGGGAUGGGUGGGGACAAGUUCGGCUCCGUGGCGGCCCCGCCCACACUUUCCCGGUGAAAGCGGACAGCUGCCUUGCACCAUCUGGGUGCUGCUCUUGCACCGGGGGUAAGAUGUCUCAAACUCCUAUGCUAAUCUAGAGCCUUCAGAAUGUUCCCCAAGGGCAGGCCUCAUCUUGCAUCUGGACUAAAGAAUUGACUGGAAACCCAUGCUCUGACCAUGUGUCUUGGAGUCACCUUCCAAGUUCUCUGAGGCCAUGAAGUGAAUCUACGGAAGUCUGGAGUCUGUACCUAAAAUGCAACUCUUGCUCUGUUGAUACAUGGUACAGAUAAGGAGGCCGCAAUAUGCAGAGAUUGAGUAAUGACCAAUAUCACCAGGCUCUUCAGUGAUGGAGCUAGUACUGACCAGGUUAAGACCACUGGUCCAAUACCAGCUGAACACUGGCUACUGGGAUGGAUACUGGCCUACCUGGAUUCUGGUUAUUGACCUGUAGAGGUCAGACCUACUGUGAAAUGUCAGCUGCAAUCGAUAAGAGACUAUAGCAUCUGAAAAAUGGGCACCGUAUGUUUGUGACAGUGAAAGAAGACAAGAGUGUUCAGAAGAAGAUGAAAAGCACCCAGGUUCUGUUUCUUGUCCCUGAAGAGCUCUCAAAGCAGACACAUCAAUUCAUCUCUAAGGAGUCAGAAAAUGGAAGGAAGCUGCAAUGAAGGUGGCUUGAAUGAAAUGAAGAAGAAACUGUGGGAUGCCUCAUAACACAGCCUUGCUCUGGACCAACCGCUACCGUAAUUGAUCCCUUGGGAGGCUGAAAGAACCUCGGCCUCAGAGGGAAAAGAAGGGAGAUGCACAUUAACAUGACUUAUGUCAGGUGUUUUCCACCUGUUACCUUCCCUCUAGCUAAUGGGGCCAAUAGUCUCAUCCAAAAUUUAUACUUGGUGAAGUCACAUUGCUACUAAGUGGGAGGAAACAGGAUUUGAACCUGCGUCUGUCUCUUAAGCUUGUGUUUAUUCUGCCUCUUGCUGCUUCACUGAGAAGCUACAUGCUUAGAAUUUCUUCCUAAAUAAUUGGGAUUACUAACAAUAUUGAGACAGACAACUUUUUUCUAGCUCCAAUUCAAGCCCAGAGAAAUUCUCACCUAUCUUUUUAUGUAUGUGUGUGACCCAAUGUACCAAGCUUACACAUUAUUAGAUAAACAUUUAAACUGUGCUAUAUCUUGUCUAAUUUUGCUAACCCAUAUAAACAUGAACUUUCUAACUUUUUUCUUGUAUUUCUAGACCUAAAGAUUAUUCCCCUACACAACUUUCACAUGUUUUAAAGUCAUUACUGGAGGGAGUAGUUUAAAUUUAGUUAUUGUUUUAGGUAUUUUAUUUGUUUCAUCAGAAAUCUCCAUCUAGACCUAGAGGGUAUUAUGCUAAGUGAAAUACAUCGGACUGGGAAAGGAAAUACCAUAGGAUUUCACUCAUAUGUGGAAUCUAAAGAAACAGACAAAUAAAAAACAGAAUCAAACCUAUAA